rnacentral:lncRNA from 1 species
AUGUUGCGUGAAGCAGCACAAAGCAACACCACCAGGCAGCUGUGGGCCACCAGCUGUGUCCUGCUGCUCCGGCCACCCCGGGGUGUGCUCCAGGAUCCGCUUCCCAGCUGGGUCCUUAACGCUGAUGCACCUGGGGGGGCUGCGUGGCCUUGGCAAUCAUCCCCCCCUGCGGGACCCCAGCGCUGGCACGGAGCAAAUAGCCUUCUCCUGCACCCCCUUGGCUCCUGCCAGCCCUCCCUGGACCAGACCUUCUCUCCAGCUCCUUCCCUCCCCUCCCACCAUACCUCUUUCAAGGGUUGCAGAGGCAGGGGCUGGAGCAGCCACCAGCAGGUCCCCCCCCUGCUGCGGUGCCCAGGCUCCCCUAGCUGGGCUGUGCUGGAAGGACAUCCCGGGGGCAGCAGUAACUGCCAAAUCCCAGCUCCGGUGUCAGUGCCUGCCCGGCACCGUGAUGCCCAGCCAAGCUCAGAGGGGGCUGGGGACUGUCCCCCCAACCCCGCCACCCUCUCCCAUCCCACCACCCCAGAGAGCCUGGCAGCACCCACCGAGACCAAGCCCUUCAUCUGCAGGGGACGUGCUCCAUGUCCCUGGGAGACAGUCUCCUGUGAGCCCCGGUGGCUGCGGGCACUGGGAUGGAAACAUCACUGCCCUCAGCCCCCUCCCUUGCACUGCCCAAGCUGCCCUGGCUGGCACCCCGUCACCAGAUCACCCCACCAUCCCCAAAAUGCUCCGUCCUUUCCCAGUGCCCACCAGGAGACAGGCGUUUGUCACCAGCCAGCCCAGGAAAGCAGCGGGACGGGAGAGCCCAGCCAUGCCCCGGGCUGGGUGGGCAGGAGAUCUCACCCCCCAUCGCCCGCCCGCUGCUUCCUCCAGCACCGCUGCCCUGUGAAGCUCCGUGCUCUCCCUCUGGGUGCCCUGCCAGGCACCAGCCUGCGCUGCCAGCCCGGGGACAGCCCCCGGCAGCAGCAUGGGGCAGCUCAGCUGAGCACAACCGGGCUGUGCCGGGCCAGAGUGGGCAAUAAAACCUCUGCCGCUGCCCCACGGCACUGGGCUGGGCUUUCAAAACAUGCUGAGUUAUUAGCAGAAUUAUUAGCAGAAGACUAG